UACGAAGGGGGCUAGCGUUGCUCGGAAUCACUGGGCGUAAAGGGUGCGUAGGCGGGUCUUUAAGUCAGGGGUGAAAUCCUGGAGCUCAACUCCAGAACUGCCUUUGAUACUGAAGAUCUUGAGUUCGGGAGAGGUGAGUGGAACUGCGAGUGUAGAGGUGAAAUUCGUAGAUAUUCGCAAGAACACCAGUGGCGAAGGCGGACUCACUGGCCCGAUACUGACGCUGAGGCACGAAAGCGUGG
rnacentral:rRNA from 1 species